AAAAGAAACUAACAAGGAUUCCCCUAGUAACGGCGAGCGAAGCGGGAAGAGCUCAAAUUUGAAAGCUGGCGUCUUCGGCGUCCGCGUUGUAAUCUCGAGACGUGUUUUCCGUGCGGCUCUAUGGACAAGUCCCUUGGGACAGGGCAUCGUAGAGGGUGAAAAUCCCGUACUUGCCAUGGAAGUACCGUGCUUUGUGAUACACGCUCCAAGAGUCGAGUAGUUUGGGAUUGCUGCUCAAAGUGGGUGGUAGACUCCAUCUAAAGCUAAAUAUCGGGGAGAGACCGAUAGCGAACAAGUACCGUGAGGGAAAGAUGAAAAGCACUUUGGAAAGAGAGUUAAAAGUACGUGAAAUUGUCGAAAGGGAAGCACUUGAAGUCAGCCAUGCUGCUUGAGACUCAGCCUGGCUUUUGCUUGGUGUAUUUCUCGGUAGCAAGCCAGCAUUGGUUUGUGUCGUCGGAGAAGCGUAUGGGGAAUGUGGCAUCCUCGGAUGUGUUAUAGCCCUGUGCAGGAUACGACGACGUAGACCAAGGAACGCAGUGUGCCCUCUGGGCGGGUCUUCGGACACCUUCACACUUAGGAUGCUGGCGUAAUGGCUUUAAGUGGC
rnacentral:rRNA from 1 species